ACUCAAAUGAAUAGACGGGGGCCCGCACAAGCGGUGGAGCAUGUGGUUUAAUUCGAUGCAACGCGAAGAACCUUACCUACUCUUGACAUCCAGAGAAUUUAGCAGAGAUGCUUUAGUGCCUUCGGGAACUCUGAGACAGGUGCUGCAUGGCUGUCGUCAGCUCGUGUUGUGAAAUGUUGGGUUAAGUCCCGCAACGAGCGCAACCCUUAUCCUUUGUUGCCAGCGAUUCGGUCGGGAACUCAAAGGAGACUGCCGGUGAUAAACCGGAGGAAGGUGGGGAUGACGUCAAGUCAUCAUGGCCCUUACGAGUAGGGCUACACACGUGCUACAAUGGCGUAUACAAAGAGAAGCGACCUCGCGAGAGCAAGCGGAACUCAUAAAGUACGUCGUAGUCCGGAUUGGAGUCUGCAACUCGACUCCAUGAAGUCGGAAUCGCUAGUAAUCGUAGAUCAGAAUGCUACGGUGAAUACGUUCCCGGGCCUUGUACACACCGCCCGU
rnacentral:rRNA from 1 species